GUCGCCCGCACUUUUACUCGUGUUGGGUUUGCCCCUAAGCCCUGCCUGUGAAAGUUUAAACUUGUCCUCUUUGUAAGUCUGAACCACCCGCACUUCUUAGGAAAUAGACUUUCAGGACCGACGAGAUGGCUGUGUGCGUGAAGCCUGCCGCCGAGAGGGCGGACCCGUGUUCAGUCCCCAGAACCCGUAUGGUGGAAGGAGAGAACCAACUCCCUCAAAUUGACUUCAGAUCUCCACGCACCAUAAGGAAACUAUUUGAGUUUUGUUUUUAUUUUCAAAUACUUUUUUCAUUUAGUGUGCGUGUGCACAGAGAGGUCAGAAGACAACUUGCCAGAGCCAGUUCCUCAUAUGGGUCUAAGGUAUCAAACUCAAGUCAUCAAGCUUGGCGGCCAGCACUUUUACGUACUACCUUCUUGCUGGCUGAGAAAACAUUUUUGUAUUAAGUGACUAGUGUUAAGUAAGGUUAAAGUAAAGUGAAAUUUUAAAUGUAAAUAAGGGCAAAAAUAAACACGAAGGAAAAAAACUGAAAAGUUCAA
rnacentral:lncRNA from 1 species